UACGUAGGGUCCGAGCGUUGUCCGGAAUUAUGGGGCGUAAAGAGCUCGUAGGCGGUUUGUCGCGUCUGCUGUGAAAUCCCGAGGCUCAACCUCGGGCCUGCAGUGGGUACGGGCAGACUGGAGUGCGGUAGGGGAGAAUGGAAUUCCUGGUGUAGCGGUGGAAUGCGCAGAUAUCAGGAGGAACACCGAUGGCGAAGGCAGUUCUCUGGGCCGUAACUGACGCUGAGGAGCGAAAGCGUGGGGAGCGAACAGG
rnacentral:rRNA from 1 species